rnacentral:rRNA from 1 species
CGAGCGGCAGCACGGGGAGCUUGCUCCCUGGUGGCGAGCGGCGGACGGGUGAGUAACGCAUAGGAAUCUGCCCGGUAGUGGGGGAUAACCUGGGGAAACCCAGGCUAAUACCGCAUACGUCCUACGGGAGAAAGCAGGGGACCUUCGGGCCUUGCGCUAUCGGAUGAGCCUAUGCCGGAUUAGCUGGUUGGUGAGGUAAUGGCUCACCAAGGCGACGAUCCGUAGCUGGUCUGAGAGGAUGAUCAGCCACACUGGGACUGAGACACGGCCCAGACUCCUACGGGAGGCAGCAGUGGGGAAUAUUGGACAAUGGGGGCAACCCUGAUCCAGCCAUGCCGCGUGUGUGAAGAAGGCCUUCGGGUUGUAAAGCACUUUCAGCGAGGAAGAAGGCCUUGGGGCUAAUACCCCCGAGGAAGGACAUCACUCGCAGAAGAAGCACCGGCUAACUCCGUGCCAGCAGCCGCGGUAAUACGGAGGGUGCGAGCGUUAAUCGGAAUUACUGGGCGUAAAGCGCGCGUAGGCGGCGUGAUAAGCCGGUUGUGAAAGCCCCGGGCUCAACCUGGGAACGGCAUCCGGAACUGUCAGGCUAGAGUGCAGGAGAGGAAGGUAGAAUUCCCGGUGUAGCGGUGAAAUGCGUAGAGAUCGGGAGGAAUACCAGUGGCGAAGGCGGCCUUCUGGACUGACACUGACGCUGAGGUGCGAAAGCGUGGGUAGC